rnacentral:rRNA from 1 species
UACGUAGGGGGCGAGCGUUGUCCGGAAUUAUUGGGCGUAAAGAGCGUGUAGGCGGUUCGGUAAGUCCGCUGUGAAAGUCCAGGGCUCAACCCUGGGAUGCCGGUGGAUACUGUCGGGCUCGAGUCCGGAAGAGGAGUGUGGAAUUCCUGGUGUAGCGGUGAAAUGCGCAGAUAUCAGGAAGAACACCAAUGGCGAAAGCAGCUUUCUGGGACGGUACUGACGCUGAGACGCGAAAGCGUGGGGAGCGAACAGG